UGCCAUCCAGCAAGAUGUGGUUUCAUGUGGUGUGUUUGCGCUUAAAUUUGCAGAGUGCAUACUGGAAAACAAGGACCUGAACUUUCCAUCAACAGCAGAAGCUGUUAAUACCAUGCGACUCAACAUUUCUUCCACACUUCUCUCAGAAUCAGACUCAGUGGAGAAUCUCUGCAGACACUGUGGCAGUGAGGACACAGAAGAUCAUAUGUGGAUCGCAUGUGACAGAUGCAACUGGUGGUACCACCAAGGCUGCGUUAAGGUCCCACAAACCGACACAGGCUACUGCUGUGCAAUGUGCUUAUAGAUUUUAUGUUUGUACCAAUCUAAUUCUUUAAUGACUGCAGUUUAGUGGAUUUUCAGUUUAAACAUGUGAC